UUAUUUUCAGUCUUUGUGUGUCUGCACCAGAUAGAACUGUUUCGGGUGUCACUUUGUUGUUUUGUAUUUUUGAAGUGUUCAGAUUCUUAUUAAAAAGAUGAACACUAAACACGCUGCACUUUGGUCCUCUCCUUCUUCCAUAGACGACAGCCAUUAUAAUUGCACUGAAGAAAAUGUCAUAUCGGUGUUCCAUAUUAUGACACCACAGGAGGUGGGGGUUCAUCAAGGAACCUCAGUUGGUGGGGGUUCAGCAAGGAACCUAACUCUCCAACUGAAACAUUUGGAUUUGAAAGGACAACAGGUGCUCCUCAAUGUAAGGUAUACAUACAAGGAGGCAUAGAAAGGUAUGUCAAUUGGUAUUGGUAUGUCAUGCAGAUCACAUGUACCAUCCUCCUCCCCUACCUCUUCAAUAAAAAUCCCGUAGGCCUCUACAUUAUGGACAAGACUUCCCCCUCCCUACACCCCUGAUGAAUAUAAGAGGACACCUGUUCGAUCACCAUGCACUGCAAAAUCAAUCUUGCUAUGGACACAGAACAUCAACACAUUAACAUUAACACGCCAGAGGAUAUAGCCAUUGGACUUGGGGCUCUGCUGGGAGUUAACCUAUAUUUGGAUUUUUCAAUUCUGCUUUGCCUCUAAAAUCAUAAUAAACACUGACA